UUGAAAGAACAGAGGAAACUUGAUAUAUAUGCUCUCUGAUUUAACAUUGUCGAGUACUGCAUGGAUUUAUAGUUCUCAUCUUCUGUUGAUUAAUUUGUUCAAUGGACCUGAGACUUGCAUUUAGGAGCAAAAUAUUUUAUGUACUGCUGAGAGUCCCAACAUUGAAACCGGUUGACAGUUGAAUAACACUUUGGUGCCAGUCUCGCUUCAUGAGAACUUGAAUUAGUCUAUGUAGAAGAUUGGUUUUGCUUACGUUUAUUUGUGCGGAUCAUGCAUAAAACUCUGGGUUUAGAUCUGGUUCUCUAUCCGUGAAGUUUCAGUUGAAGAUAUUUAUCCAUGCAAAAGGCAAUACCUGGUGUGCUGUAUUUGCUUUUAUUCCUAUUACAUGUGGAAUUUUUCCCUCAAACAACAGCACAUAGAUAUUGAACAAUCCAAUGAUAGCCGCCUUUAUCUGAACAGAAAGAAAUUUGAUUAUGGCCACACUGCCCACCUUUUUGAAAGUCAAAUUGCUUGUUGUGAGCCACAAUUGCUUUAUGGACACACUAGCCUCGGGGAUCUCUCGGUUAUAAAAAAAAAUUGGACUACUAGGUACAUGUUAGAUAGUCAUAUUGACCAUUAUUUUCAAUCAGAAGUUAUUAUUUACAGUUCUUCUAUUUUUUGGGGUUGAAAUGCUAAAUGAACAGCAAGAAAUGGAAGCAAUUGAUACAAUCAAGAGGCCGCUCUUUCAUAUUUUCAACUUCUACCCCGGUGCCUGUAAUUGCUGCUGCCCAUGGUAAAUCGACUUAUCAGAAUGGAAAAUUCAGUUACUGCUCUUAUUUGAGGCCAUUUUAUAGAUGACGGUAUUUGUUUUUGUAUCUCAUGAUCUCAUCUAUUAGCGGAGAAGUGGAGAGUUUCUCCUCCGUUCCUUCCUGCCUUUUCCUUCCUUCUUUUUCACUUAAAUAAUGGUGGUAUCUGUCCGGUUUGCAUGCACCUCAACUAUCUUGUCGUACCUUAAUCCUUCCACAAGUACUGAGUAACUCUUCCCGCCAAAUCUUAGAUAGAAGAGAAGAAAUUACCCUUUUUUGUCUCUGGUGUAAUUCGAACCCUGGUCUCUCAUGGUCUUCGUUCCAUCUUCAUCGACUGAUAGGCUGCAAGAAAUGGAUAGCCUUAUCUGGCACUUUACGUGAAAUGUUGUCUUUCUCAUUCCCAUAUUUAUGGGCAAUUUUUUCCUUAUCCUAGAUGGAAAAAGUGCAAACAAAAUGUGGCCUAUUAAAAAUAAGUGUGAGCUGGAAAACUGAACCAUGUUAGGAUGGAGACUGGACAUGAUUUCUGAACUGCGAGCUUAUUGUGGCUUACUUAUACAUUGUUAAUGAUGUAACAUAUGUAGCUGCUGUUGUUGUGGCAAAAAAGGAGAUGUGGCGUAGAAGAGCUAUUUGGAAUAGGGUGCAAGGUUUCCGUGAUUUAACAGGAAUCCCCAUUACAAGUCCUAUCAUCUCCCUUAUUGUGUGAAAUGAAGCAACGGCUCUGCAAUCUAGCAGACAUCUUUUGCAACUUGGCUUUCACAUAACUGCAAUAAGACCGCCAACAGUGGCUCCUAGCUCAUGCAGGUUAAGGAUAACUUUGAGUGCAGCUCACACAUUGGAUGAUAUAAGAAAGCUCAUAGCGGCGCUGUCUCAAUGUGUCAGCUUCAGUGAGAUCGGAUUCUGCUGCACAAGCUGGAAUGCCAGACUCUAGUUAUAUUCAUUUGCAUUUGUAGAAGAGUGAAUUUUAAUGAAAACGAUGCCUUCUUCAGUAAGUGAAGACAUCUGCACAAGAGUGACUUAUAAUGUUCUUAGCAUUCAAUACUAAUUGAGCAGGUCUUCUUUUCGUACAGUAAAUACGAGCCGCAAUUAAUGAAAACGAUGCCUUCUUCAGUAAGUGAAGUCGUGCAUUAUUUACAUGGUUUUUGCCC